UACUCUCACACUCCCAAUUCUUUUGGAUCGGGAGCGGUGGACUUGGGUGUUGCUGCUUUACCGUGGCUCGCCUUAAAUGAAGUAGUGCAACUCUUGGUUGGACAUAGUACGGCGUGAUAAGUGUCUUCGCCGGCACCUCACUUAGAGGGUGGCUGAUCAGGAGCUCUGUGCUUCAAACCGUCUUCGGACAAUUAUUGACA
rnacentral:misc_RNA from 1 species